rnacentral:rRNA from 1 species
CCUACGGGAGGCAGCAGUGGGGAAUAUUGGGCAAUGGGCGCAAGCCUGACCCAGCAACGCCGCGUGAAGGAAGAAGGCUUUCUGGUUGUAAACUUCUUUUAUCAGGGACGAAGCAAGUGACGGUACCUGAUGAUUAAGCCACGGCUAACAACGUGCCAGCAGCCGCGGUAAUACGUGGGUGGCGAGCGUUAUCCGGAUGUACUGGGUGUAAGGGGAGUGUAGGCGGGAGUGCAAGUCAGAUGUGAAAACUAUGGGCUCAACCCAUAGCGUGGGUUUGACAUGGUACUUCUUGAGUGCUGGGGAGGCAAUCGGAAUUCGGGGUGUAGCGGUGAAAUGCGUAGAUAUACGGAGGAACACCAGUGGCGAAGGCGGAUUGCUGGACAGUAACUGACGCUGAGGCGCGAAAGCGUGGGGAGCAAACAGGAUUAGAUACCCCUGUAGUC